ensembl:lncRNA
AGGCAGAGUCUUUAGGCAAGUCCUUAUGUGUGUUCACCUGCACUGUGGAUUUAAACAUUUUAAAGUACUUAUAAAAUAAUGAUCUUUUUUUAGGGGGAACUUAUACAUGAAAAAUUCACAUUUAACAGGAACAUUUUGGUACUGACAAAACUAAUGUGGAGUUACCCAGAAUGCCUAGCUGUAUUGUUCAUUAGUGCAUAGUGAAGUGUAAAAAGCCGCGUUGCUGAAGGCUGUGAAUCAGGCUGGUCUCAUGACUGCCACAAUUCUCUAUUCACUCUUUGUUUGUUUGCCUGCAGGUUAAAUUUGCUCUCGAUAACAAGUAUAAAAGAAGACCAUCUUCUCCUUUCUAGCAGAGAGACUAUUUACAGUUACAGAACUGCUUUGGUUGAUACAGAAUACUUUAGAUAAACUAAAAGACAGGGGAAAUAGGCAAGCAUUAGAAAAAAAAAGAAAAAAAAAAACCAAUGGCAGACUAUCAGGAAACAGAAUGACAAGGUAGUGGUUGAACAUCAUAUAGUUGUCUUUCUUGUAGUAUUUUGUGCUAAGUAGCAGGAAAAUCAGGGUUGGAAGGGAAAAAUUCCGUUUUAGUUGUCUUCUUUCUGCUAGCAUUGUUAAGUGUUUGACUGUGUGCUUUUGUACACUGGCCACUGACAGAGAAGAUGAGUAAGUGUAAGAAAGAGUUGAGUGAGAGAGAGAGAGAGUUGAGUGAGAGAGAGAGAGAACGGCUGCUCAUCCGCAGGGCCAGCGGAGCCAACGCCUCUCAGCUGGCUCAUAUGGAAAAGAUGCUACAAGAAACCAAAGGCCUGCUGGAGAAGAAGACAGAGACGGAUUCAGAAAGCAAAGCCUGUGGGGACACUAUGGUGUCUGAUCUGGAGCAGAAGGUCCAGCGCAGCAAGCGAGACCGUCGUAACUCUCUCCACCGCACACAGCUGCUGGAGAGUCAGAUGAAGACGGUUCGCGGUGAGCUGGUUGGCACGCUUGACCACCUGCAGGAGCUGCGCAACAUACUGCGACGCUCGCAGCAGAACGCAGAAGAGCGGGACGCAGCCAUGCAAAAACUAGCUGCAGGGCUGAGGUGAGACACCACCUGUCUGCCUGCAGUUCCUGGGUUACCACAUCCAUUCAUCUCAUCUUAAAGACUUUAAAGCACUGUUCCUCUGAAAUAUCUGUUUGACUGCACAUCCAGAAUGAUGCUAUUUUCACAUUGGCUCAUACAUUCCUAUGCAACCAGAUGCUGUUGUAAAAUCUAUGUUAAAUGAUUGAAGCAUGCCACAGUUAUUUAAAGGGCGUGGUUUUAUUCUCUUAAGAUAGAAGUAGUUCUGUUUUGGCUGAUGAGAACUCUGUUUGGUAGCAUCCGGGUUUUAUAUCCUGUUGUCAGUGAAAUGCAGCAUUAAAGCAUAAUUUCAAUCAUAUAAACAAAUGUCUGUAUAAGUAUAUAGACAUCUAUUGAAUGCCUUGUUAACUUGUGUGACGGCUUCAGCCAAGUGUUUUUUUUUUUUUGUUUUUUUUUCUUCACAGGAUUCGUUUUGUAAGACCACAGAUUGUGUACAAUGUCUUGUAGCUUUGAGUUGUUUCAUAUGUGAUACCUGCAAGAUCCAACAUUCCUUAAUAUGAAUGCUUUAGUCCUGUAUACUCAGAGACUCAACUGCUUUUAUCGUUUAAUUUAAUAUAUUGUUUAUUCCUUUUACAUGAUCUGCAAUAUUACAUGCUGUUUCAACAUUAAUAUUAAUCCCCAAUUCACCAAGUAAUGCUGGUGUAGAAUGUUUGUGUCUGGAUACUCAUUAAAAUAUCCAUAUGUCCUCCAGGUUGUACUUUAUGAAAAUAAAACAGAAACAUUAUAUCCA